CCCCGCCUGCCUUGAUGGUGAGACAGUACAAGACGCUAAGAAAACUGAAAUGUCCUCAGCUCUUUGCAGCACUGCUCAGCAACAACUAAAACAUCAAUGUUACAUCAACAUCAUUUUUCACCUAAAGCCAAAACAUAGGAUAAUACCGACCACUAUGAAGAAAAUCAACUAAUUCCCAGAUGAAAUAAGGACAUUUUUCAUGGUAAUUCCAGCGAUGAAAAGCAGAACAUCACUACAGUUUACCUACUAUGAUGGAGAAUAUUUUGGAAGCUAUCUGUUUGGUCAAGGAAAAGUGACACAGUAUUCUAAGGAAGCACUGAUGUGUUAUCUACUAAUAGCCUGCUUCUCAGAAAAUAAAACAGGGAGCUGGAAGUGCACAAGGAAAAAUGUAAGUUCAAAAACUGAACAAAUAAUAAAAUGAGCACUAAGAUAAGAUACAAAUCAUUUCAUUUUCUCAUUAUUAUAUGUCGUUUAUACAAAAAAUCUUACAAAGAUUCCCACUUGAACUCUUCUUUACAGAGACUGAGGUUGAUGUUUUCAAAUGUUUCUAGAAGAGCAGAAUCUUCCAUUUGUUGCUUUUACCAAAUCCUUAGAUUAAAAAAAUAAUAAUAAUUACUACUGACGUUUUUAUGUGUCACUAUGGAAAGUUUUGAUACAAAAUAUAAAAUUUUAGUUUAUUUAUACUGUUUUAAACAGAAUUCUGAGGUGUAUAGGUGAUUCUGCCCCUCAGCUCUGCUCUUGUGAGACACCACCUGGAGUACUGCACGCUGUUCUGGGGCCCCCAACACAAGAAGGACGUGGAGCUGCUGGAGCAGGUCCAGAGGAGGGCCAAGAAGAUGAUCGGAGAACUGGAGCACCUCCCCUACAGGGACAAGCUGAGGGAGCUGGAGCUUUUCACCCUGGAGAAGAGAAGGCCUCAGGGGAACCGUAUAGCAGCCUUCCAGUACCUGAAGGGGGCCUACAAGAGAGGUGAGGAGGGACUUUUCUUAUAAGCACAUAGUGACAGGAUGAGGGGGAAUGGUUUUAAAAUGAAAGAGGGUAGAUUUAGACUAGAUUUUAGGAAGAAAUUCUUUACUGUGAGGGUGGUGAGAUACUGGAACAGGUUGCCCAGAGAGGUUGUGGAUGCCCCCUCCCUGGAAGUACUCAAGGCCAGGCUGGAUGGGGCUUUGAGCGACAUGGUCAAGUGGAAGGUGUCCUUGCCUAUGGAAGGGGUCUGGAAUUAGAUGAUCUUAAAGGUUCAUUCCAACCCAAACCAUUCUAUGAUUCUAUAUAGCAGCAACAAGUAGUUUAAACUUGGCAAUAUUCAUUGAGGAGAAAAGAGUAUAAGGAACUCCAAUAAAUGAAGGUCUGUAGUACAGAAAAAGGUCUUAAUAAAUUCUGACGUUUGUAGUCCUUUCCUAGUGUAGACAUAAGUCACAUAUAUAAAUUUAACAAACAAGCAAACAAAAAACCUCUUGAGAUGUCAUUAGGUUUAUGUGCAAAUGGAUGGACAGUAUCAUACACUUAAACUGACUGUAUCAAUGAAAAAUUAGCCCAGUUCUACACCCUCUGAUUCUGGGAUCAUAGUCCAGAUAAUCACCAUGAAGAGCCUUAAGUAGAGUCUACUGAAUCAUUCUAAUAAUUUUCCUUAGUUUUUACAUCUUGCCUGUUGCCAGGAAACUGAACAUGUAAUGAUAAAAUUCUUCUAUCUCCAUUUUGGACACUUUGUACAGAAUACUCACAUUUCAGCAUCUUCAUUGAUUCCCAGACCCCUUCAUUUUUUACAUAUUAAAAGUUUCAACAAAAAUCAACUUUGUCCUAAAUUUUUGUCAAGCACACCAACUUUGCUGUUGCAGCAUGUCUCUGAACAAAUAAAUAUCCAAGUGCACUUUUUCAUAAUUUUCUGUCAAUUUUUGGACCUGAAAUAAUAUUAUUUUGCUAUGAUUAUGCGUAGGAAUUUAUUUUUGACUGCACUUAACUACUUUCUUUUUAUCUGUUUUUCUUAAUCCAGAUUUAGCUGUCUUCCUGAUACAAAUUUAUUUGUUCUGCUAAAAGGGUGUUAGAUGUCAGAUAUUUUCUACUUUUACAUUAUUACUUUUGCUGAAUCUUUCAAUAAUAAAUGAUUUGCAUGCCUUCUACAUAUGUAUUAAAAUACUAUUCUGCACUGAAAUCUACUUUGGUAUUUCCUACUUGUUUAUCAUACUGCCUUAUGAUUUUCACACAUGAAAUAUACCUGCUCUCCUUAGGAAUCCUGUAAUAUCCUGAAAUACUAAAAAAAAAAAUACUACAAAAGAACAGUUAGUAUGAAAAUCAGCCUGUGACAGAGCUCUCAUGCAAAACUGAAGACACAACAAGAGCAAAUUCAUCUUUUCUGUAUCGCUGGCAUGAGACAAAACAUUUGUGAGACUGUUAUGAAAGCCUGAGGUUUUUUGUUGGUUUCAUAAUGUAUUGUAGUUACAAGGUUUUAAAAGAUCAAAGGAUUCAAGUUCUCCAAAUACUUUCACCAUAUGAAUGUAUCUGAACUUUAAAAUAUAAAGAAAUAAGAAAGACAGUCUUGAUUUGAAAUGAAUAUUCCUAUAUGCAAUUGAUUUUUGUCAGCCUUCAUUGUCUUCUUCUACUUUUGGCCUCUGUGAAAAACUGUGUUCCAGUAAUAUUUUUAAAAUGGAAUAAUAUUUGGAAUAUCCUGUGCUGUCACACAGUAAAAUUAAUAGUGCUCUCAGUCAUCAUAUACAAGAAUAAAACCACUAGUUAAGGUCAAAAUUGACAUCCUGUACUUGGCUUAAUUUUAGAAUUACACAAUUAAGAACACUAGUGAAUUAAGAACUUUUUAGAAAACAUUCAAUUUUGAUCUUUGCUGUGUACAAAAAAAAAAAAAGAGCAUAGAGGAUAGGAAGUAGGACAGCUCUUAUAUUCGCUGUAUGUUUUUGAUCAUCUGCUACAAAUAACUGCAGGAGUACUUUGCUUUGAAUUCCCUUUGUUUAUCAUAAAGAUAAAAAUUUAAUAAAUUUUUGUUCACUGAAAUGAGAAUUUGCUGACAAAAAAAUUACAUUUCGCUACUUCCUGUGUGUAAAGAGGAUAUAAAGUGCUACUAAUACAGUUGGCUUUCCAUAUGCAAGGGUAGAAAUGGAUACAAGAGGUUGAAGACAGUGAAGAGGCAAAUGCACUAUUUUCAAGUUACCUAGUAUGCCAUCUUCUGGAAAUUCUUAUGAAAGCCAUAAUUCUUGUAUGGUCCCUUGCUAUCUGAUUUCUGGUGCUUCCAUUACUCCUAGAAAAGUGUCCACCAGCUAUCUCAAGGAAAAAUACGUAUAACCCUUCCUUAUUUUUAGGGGACAGGAAAAGUGAGGGGAACACUAUUUCAGCUGGACAGAUCUUUUCAAUUUGGCAAUAUAUUUAUGUAAGUGUCUUGUUUGUGUUGGAGAAAUUUUGCUUGAAUCAAGUAUAAAAAGAACUUGUAAUUAUUACUCUAUUUUGUAAAAACAUGUAACAGUGAUAAGUUGAAAGUAUCCCAGGGUCCACUGUGUGAAAAUAUUUCCAUUCUCUUUAGGGAGCAUUCGUGUUAACUUUUAGCAUCGUCUGAUUCCUACACUCUCUGAUCGGGUUUAUUUAGUAUUCCAUGAAUGGUGUGUGUAAUGUAUAGAAUCAGAUUUACUUAUUUAAAGGCAUUUCAUGUUACAAGGAACUUCUGAUUUUGCAGAGUGGUAUAAAAUAUAAUGAAAAUACUGUGCAAAUGUAAACUACCUUUAACAAAAUUGCAUUACACUGUUCAAACACAAUAGUAAUGUAAUUCCCAUUAGCUGUUUCUGUAACAUAAUCAUCAUCACAGUGCUAAAGUCCCCAGUUUCCAGAAAAGAAUACAUGGAGAAAAGCUAACUCAGGCUCAUAGAUCCCCUCAAAAUUCUUCUUCUAGUUGUUGGGUCUUUUUUUCCUCUCUUAUUGCUUAGUCGUAUAUUCACUCUUCCCAGACUGGUUCUGCUAACUCUCAGAGACAUUUACACUUUUUUUAAUGAACUGAGAGAGAAACAUUUAAACUACAAAUUCAUCCACUGAACUCUUGAUAGUAGUUUACCUAAAAUAAUGGAGAAUAAGCCAACGUAAAUUAGUCACACUCUGUAUUAUUCUCAUGAGCUUCAUGAACAUGGCAUGUUUGCCCAUCUGCAGAGCUGUCUUAUUCUUAUGGGUCCCUUCAAACUUGGGAUAUCCCAUGGUUCUAUGAUUCUUCUACUGUAAGCAUUCAUUCAGUGAAUCAUAAGUGCAUAAUGUAUCAUGGAAGAGUAUUUUAUUUAUUUAUUUAUUUAUUUUUAGUACUUGUGUUAUUUAAUAUUCUUUUGUAAAAAAAAAAUAAUAAAAAAAGAAAAUAAACUAUCUGUGUAAAAGCUUCCUGCAAAGUGAAACUAAAAAGAAAAAAAUUCUGCACAGGAAGGAGAUUUUCUGUGACCACAGGGGAUCCAAUCCUUAGUCAAAGAAGCCACAUGAAUCUGCUGCUUGCAGUGGCUUUUUGGGUGCUCUGUCUUCUGACACAUGCUGAUCAGAGUUUGCUUCUUAUCAAGCCGCAGUAAUUUCUUUGUUUUCAGGGGAAGAAUGUUACUUGUCACCUCCUUUCAGCUCCUCCUCAGGAAAGCACUUUAAGCAACUGCUCUGCUAGGGAUUUACUUAACAGAAAGAAUAUGUUUGCAUCCUGUUUUAAUCAGAAAAGCUGCAUGAAUUGCAGUUAAAGUUUGAAGACUGUGUAUAGGUCCAUGAUUAGAAAAAAAGUAGGAUUGAGGAGUAGACAGCAGCGGAACACUGACAUAGCAGUUGAUGUACCUCAUAUUUAUUCAUAGUCUAUUCACAUAAAAUGAAUUUUGUCAUGCUCUUAUUAGCUCCUUUUAAUUCACUACAACAUAUUAAACGAAGCAAGAGGCCCUUUACUCCACAUCAAGUCCAAUUAGCAUCAACUGGGUUUUUCGAUUUUGUUUUACGUGCACUGGAAGAAAACUACAGAGACUGUUUCUGACUGAAAUGUUUGCACUUCACCACAUGCAGAAACAUAUGAUGCUGAAGUGACACUGAGGGAUGGAUUCUGUGCUACAGCCUCUGCAUUGGGUAGCACUGGCAGGUCUGGAGAAAAAUCUACUGUUGUGAUCUCCAUCUUGCUUCCUGAAACCUGGGAUAGAACAGUUCUUCCUGAAUUUGCCCUUUCCAAAAUAACACUUGGUCAUGCAUUUGGUCUUAGGUAUUAAGAUUCAUUGACUCUCUGACUCUGAUCUGUUACUCAGAGAAUAGUUGUAUAGAUCAUCAGCAGAAACAGCUUUAUUGAUAAUACUAUGCUAUACAGCGUACGUAGUUCAUAUCUACUGCUUCCAAAAUAGAAAAUCAGAAGGUUUUUGUUUGUUUGUUUGUUUGUUUUAAGGCAAAAUUGCUUCAAAUUUGAUAUCAUGGAACAGUGUGUACACAAAGAUGUUAGAAUCCAUUAAAUGACUUUAUUGCAUUUACCUGAAACGUUCAUUCUUUUAUUAUUUAAUUUAUCCACAAGGAAAUGGGGUAAGAAAAUGAGGGAAUGGGAACUGAGGAAAGAAGAGGAGUUGCAGAUGAGGAAACAUACUUUCAAAUAACUCCCUAGUCAAAGAAACAAAAAUCAGGGACUCUGACACAUAUCAGCUAUGGAAUUAAGGGACUACUAAAAGAGGAUGGCCUGUUACUUUAUAUCUCCUCUCUUAACUGUGUGGGAUAUCAAGCUGCCUGUUUUGUGCAUUUAGUUGACUAUACAUAAAUCAAAUUUGAUUAAACUUAUUACACUUUCAAAUCUCAGCACCAAAUCACCUCUUCUUUAUGCUGUUCCUUUAUGCUGUGGUGUGUUCAGUGGAAAUGUGAAUAAAGUGCCACAAGCUGCAUUCAAGAAGUGUCAUAUAAUCUGGAAAAUUCAGUCCUGAAUAAUUUUUCCAAUAUAAAUUUGUAGUCUGUAGAGUUAAUGUGCACCUGAAGUGGAGAUAGUGCCAACAUACAUCACUAAUUUCAAUUCAAUUGUUUUCAUUUGCAUCUAUUAUUACAAUUUUGGAGUUCAAGCUUAUCUUUAAGAUUUUUGCUAGUAUUUUUGCAAGCAACAAGUUUUUUUUUGUUGUUGUUGUUUGGUUUUUUUGUUUGUUUUUGUUUUUAACAUGAGAGAUUAAGGUCAUAAGUAUUUAAAAUCAUUUAGACUUUAUUCUCUUUGGCCUUCAAGACUUCCACAUUCUUUGUACUUAUUUUUGUCAGUCUGGAUAUUCAGCUAUUGCUGUCUUUGCAGACAUUGUACAUUCUGAGAAAUAUGAAACACUGCUUUUGCGUAUUGUGUUAGCAUACUGCAUUUCAUGAAUCAUAGUUUAAUAAUCUUUUGUAGUUUGCUUGGUAAAUAUUUGUUGACACUUCCUGUUUAUUUGAUAUAUUGCCACGUUCUUCCCUUAGGUACUCAUUACAUUCCUGUAGAUCCAAUCAUAGCAUGCUAAUUUUUCAAUUUUUGUUAAAUAAUCUUUAGUUGUGAAAAUCUCUUUGUAUUUGUAUUACCUCUUUAAGAAAAUACACUUUUUGUUUGUUUGUUUUUAUGUACCAACUUCUUUAACAUCUGCUAAGAUGUUUUCCUAGAUGCUCAUAUAUUUUGCAUUAGAUAUGCUUCCACAAAAUUCAAAAUUAAAAAAAUAUAUAUAAGGAUUAAAUCAACUUUCAACAUGAAUAAAAGAUGCAGACUUUUUUAUUAGUAGUACACAUUCUUACAUUUCUUAAAUUAUCUAAUAAUGUUUGUAUAUUUUUACAAAGUUUUGAUUUUCCUUUUAUAUAUUUUGAUGUGCCAUUCACCAAUGAAAUCCUGAAUAGAAUCGCAACACAUAGCACAAAGUCUCUGGUAUGAGCUAUCAAAACAUUCAGGAAGAUAAUGUCACCUGUUAAGGAAAUAAAAACAGUUCCAGUGCUAUGGAGUUCAGAGAUGAUUAUGAAUGGGUUUAGAAAUGUCAACCUCUGCUUCAUUAACGAGGAUCACUGGGUUUGGAACUGUCAGAAAAGGUAGCACUACUUUCCUUGUUCUUUUAUUAAUUUAUAUCCUAAACCAGACACUAUGACACUUUGUUUAAGUAUUGUGAGCUCUGGUUUCAGCAUGCCUUUCUUAGAUCUCCUGAAGCUAUACUUUGUAUACAAGAGCUGAAGUUAUUCAACCCAAGCUGAUUUAAAGACAGCCUAUUGGGAUACCUUUCCUAAUAAUAUGUUUCAACCACCACAAGCGGUAAACAAAUAAAAAACAAUGAAUGUAGAAAUAUACCCAAUCUAGACCACUGAUUGUUCUAGACAUAUUGACUGUUUCAUCUAGCAGUCAUCAGAAUGUCAUCAACAUAGAAAUAAUUUCAUGCCGUUAAUACCACAAUAUUUUUUCCACCAUGAGACUGAAACUAUGAGAGUCUUAAACACCCACAUUUUCUAUGUCAAAUGCAGUGAUGGCUUGUCAAAGAAUCAUAGAAUCAUUAAGGUUGGAAAAGACACUUAACAUCAUCUAGUCCAACUGUCCACCAACCACCAGUAUUGCAUUUCAUAGCUAACAUCAGUGUAAGAGCAAUUUUCAUCAUAAGACAUAAGCUUUGUUUUUUCAGUGUAGUCAGAAGGUUGUUAUUGUUCUUCUUAUGUGUACUACUGCAUAUUGAGAAAAUCUCCUUUGUUGUGACAGAAUUAUGACUAAGCUCAAGAGCUCUCUCCAUGCAACCAACUUCUAAACUAAUCAGAGGUGUUAGGCAGUGGUAUGCAUAGAGUACUGCUCCUUUUGUCAAAAUUCAUUGCCAUUAAUGAAGUAGAAUCUCUAAAUCAAGGUCCAAUGAAUAUUGGGUAAAAAUAUACUAGGGGACUCUGCACUAAAGACGUUUCCUGACUAGUUCUUAAGAAUUUCAAGAUUAGAUGCAAUAGGUGUUUUGUUUUGUUCUUUUGUUUGUUUGUUUGUUUGUUCUUAAGAAUAGGUGCCAAAGAACUUGGGGGUCCUGGUAGAUGAGAAGCUGGA